AGUCAGGAACGUCAAAAGAACUAAGCAUAUUUAAAAAAACGGUAAAAUAAUGCAAAUGAUGGGCUCUCAUAAUAAUUCAAAUCAAAUAAAUCUAUCAACAACAAAAAAAACAAAAAAAAACG
rnacentral:ribozyme from 1 species